UCUUUCCUUGCAGUCAUCAUCGGAGGGACCUCAGAGAACUGGGUGGCGAGCCAGGGCGUGCCGUACGUGUACACCAUGGAGCUGCGCGACAAGGGCGAAACCGUCUUCCACCUUCCGGAGCAACUCAUCGCUGAAACGGGAGAAGAUCUCUGGGCAGCCAUGAAGUAUCUGAGCAGCCAGCUCGUGGAGUAGGAGGCAGCACGAGGCGCAGCGCAACUCACUGGCCGAGUAGGAACGACGACAGACGCUUCUUUGAACCACUUAUCUUACUUUUUUUAACUAACACUUUUUAGUGCAUAAGUGAUUUUGACAAAAAGAAAAAAUGUUCACUUUUACUAUAUUUAUUAAUUUAUCAAAAUCUAUUUAUUACUUACCAAUAAAGAAAUUGCACAACA